AUGCUGCUGCCUGGCUCCUGCGACCCGGUAGCCAUGGCAUUGGCGGUAGGGGUAGCGGUAGUGCUCGCGGGAGCGCUGGCGGGGCCCCGCGUGGAGAAGACUGGGAGCCACGAGCCUCCAGCUCUCUCUCUUCUCUCUCUCUCUUCUCUCUCUCUCUUCUCUCUCUCUCUUCUCUCUCUCUCUCUCUUCUCUCUCUCUCUCUCUCUCUCUCUCUCUCUCUCUCUCUCUCUCUUCUCUCUCUCUCUCUUCUCUCUCUCUCUCUCUCUCUCUCUCUCUUCUCUCUCUCUCUCUCUCUCUCUCUCUUCUCUCUCUCUCUCUCUCUCUCUCUCUCUCUUCUCUCUCUCUCUCUUCUCUCUCUCUCUUCUCUCUCUCUCUCUCUCUCUCUCUCUCUUCUCUCUCUCUCUCUCUCUCUCUCUCUCUCUCUCUCUUCUCUCUCUCUCUUCUCUCUCUCUCUCUCUCUCUCUCUCUCUCUCUCUCUCUCUCUCCAAAAGAAAGAAACGUUGAAAAGCAAUUGAAACCCAAGGAAAGAAAAAUGGCACGGAGGAUUUGGGAUCUGUGGCACCGUGUGAAGAAAACAUGGGGGUUGGGAGGUAGUGGAGGUGGACAGGCGGUUCCACAGAGUUGAAGGACGUGCCACAGUCAGCGGUGGCAGGGUGGACUUGAGGGUGGGACCGCUGGUGGUGCAGUCCAGGUAGGGCCAUGGGAAGGGCAUGCAGAGCUGAAAAGCACCGGCCUUUCCAGGAGAAGGGAGGUGGAAGGAGUCUCGUGUGCCCAGUGUGUCUCCCUGUCCCUUAGGGCUGCCCUUGCGGUCACGGGUCACGAGCGAGGAGGGUGCACGGCUGUAGAUGUCCCCGGUUGGCGGGAAAGUGUCAAGGCAGGGCCAGGGAAGUGGCAGCAGUGAGCAGGAGGAAUCAUUCCUGCCUGUGAAAAUGAAGUACAAGGGACCUGAGAGUCCAGAGAAACAUUCCAGGGAGAGUCGGGGUGGUGGGCCUGAGUUGCUGGAGGCCAGCAGGGGACGGUGUUGAAGGGAUUGAGAGUGGAAGCAGCAGGUGAACACAGGCCUCCUGCCUCCCCCCCUCCCUGGUGCUCCGGGCUUCUUCUUGGGCUCCCUUGCGGCUGCGGUCUGGAGGCCUGAGGAGUGGGCUUUCUGGGUUGGACCCCGGUUCCCUGGAGGAGGAGGGCCCCAGAUCGAGUAGGGGAUUAGGCCCAGGCGGUGGGGAGUGUCUCAGGUCGAGAGGGGGGGCACCCUGAGUGCCCAUGGAGGUCUGACUGGGUUGGUGGUUGGCGGGUGGAGGUGGGAUCCUACGAAGGAAGGAACGAACUAACGAAGGAAGGCAGGAAAGCGUGGACCUGCGGUUGUGGGAAAGUGUCAAGGCAGGGCCAGGGAAGUGGCAGCAGUGAGCAGGAGGAAUCAUUCCUGCCUGUGAAAAUGAAGUACAAGGGACCUGAGAGUCCAGAGAAACAUUCCAGGGAGAGUCGGGGUGGUGGGCCUGAGUUGCUGGAG
rnacentral:lncRNA from 1 species